UAUUAACCCGUCCACCGUAAUAACCACUUUUCAAAACUGUUUAUACCUCUGCUUUACACAACAUUCUGCAACAAGAAGAUGAGGCAUCUGUGUACAGCUUUGGACAGCCCAGCAGUCACGAAAGAUCUUUUCAAGUGAGAAUAGCUGCAGAGCUGCCCUACUACUUGAUCAUGGGAAAGGAAAAGCCAGAAGAGGGGGAGAGAAGCAGGAGGAAUACUUUGAGCAUGUCAUCUGGUUCAGAAUGUGCACUGAAAUGUGUGUGGAUCCUGAAGGUUUUAUGCUACUUCACAAGAAAUAUUGAGAAGGUACCUAAAUAUCUGGAUGCAUAGGAGAAAUCUUCACCAUGUGGAAAACAUCCCCAUGGCAUAUGAAAGGAUAUUCUCACAGAAAAUUUCACCAGUUCCACACAUUUCCUCAUAAGAAAAAGUGAUUGGUCUCAAUGUUUACAAAAUCAUUUUUCAUGUAUUUGUGAAAUCAAUGUGUGAGUAAUAUUUCACUGCAGCUAGGACAAAGUUCAUAAGUAGACCAACAAGUGUUAUGCUUCAUUAGAUCAAGUACAGAUGAAAAAUUUUGACAAGAUUUCAGACACAAUUCAUAUUUCAAACUCAGAAAAAGAACGUGAAGAAGGACUUCUGUAACCAAAGUUUUGCUUUUCUUUUUUUUCCUCUAUUAUGUUAAGUACUUGUAUACAAGAUGUUAUUGCUAUUUACAAAAUCUUUCUGUGUUUUGUCUUUGAGUGAGACAACUUGUGUAAGUACUUCAUAAUGAAAAUCUCUUAAUCACUUCAUUGAGGGAGAAAAUAAUAAUAAUUUACAUCAUGUAUUGCUGCUACAAAGUUAAAUGCAGUUUAAAGAAAUGAAUCUUAAUAAUUUUGUCAAUAAAAUUUUCUUUAUGAUCACCACUCUUCACUCUUCUAAGAAACUAAGCAGAAAAGAGAAAUCACAUAUUAGUGCCUUAGUAGAUAAAUAGAAUAUUUACUUAUUUCACCUUCUUAUUCCAGGGUCCUUUAUGAUAACUGCCUAAAAACCAAUCUGUCAUUUAAGAAAAAGGAAAUAAAUAAUUUUAUAGAAAGUUAUAUUUCAGUACCUUACAGUUUUCCCUCCCUACUUUUGUUUUUAUUAUUAUUAUUUGUACAUAGAUAGCAUUUUGGUAUUUUAUAUACAUAACACAACUUUGUAUAAACAUUACACAACUUUAUAUAUGUUACAUAACUUUGUACAAAGUUGACUUAAGUAUGACUUGUGUCAAAGUUGUGUACAGAAAUGUUCAGGGAGAAUUUUUUGCAGUUUCAUUCCAUUUUCUGAAACCCAGUAGACAACAGUAUGUCAGCAGCUGAAGAUACAGCUGUAACUAUACUGAGAUUCUUGCUUAUGUGGUUAUGUUAGCAUCAAUGAUAAAAAACCUGACAUUUUUAGUGGUAAAACUUUUACAUUUAUUGGUGUACUAGCCCUUAUUGAAUUUCAUAAUGUAAAUAAAUAUUUUUAGAUCUGGUUGAGAGCAGCCCUGCUCUUCUCCCAUGUGUAUUUACAUUAUUCAAUGGUGAUGGGUUAGGGUGCUUAGUGCCUAAUAGCAUUGAAUCCAAAAGCUCUGUGGCAGUUACAGCUCUUUGAGGUGAGCAAGGUUCCUUUCUAAUCUGCAAUGUAUAGGACUGGUGAACAGAAAACUGAGCACAAAAUAGGUAUGGUAUGUUUGAGAAAGCGUGGAGAGAUCCAACAGGCUGCAGCUUAUUAGUAUUCUCUUCAGGCAACCAAAGGUCAGCUGAACUCAGCAUAGCCAGGCACACAUCAUAGCCUGGGCUAUGGGAUUCAGAUCUUCCCCCAAAUGAACAAAAACUUCCAUAAUUCUCUUGAAGAAGUACUGCAAGUGGGGCACAAAAUACCGUCACUAAAUCCAGUUCCUAAAUAACUUAGUGGGAAGCAAAACUGAGACAAUACUCUAUGUGUCCUACAGGAUCUAUCUCCCCCAACAAGCAGGCAUUUCCUCUACAGUGUAAGGUAACUCGCAGAUUUCCCUUCUAGCAAACAGCAGCGUCUCCAGAAAUUGUCCACAAGGAAAACAUCCUCCGUCUCUGACAGUUAGUGUCUCAUCACUGAAAUAACUGGAACUACACUGACCUGCAACAGUUAAAGGUUUUGCCACUUAUGUCUGACACAAAAUAAUGCACAGAUGUGUGUAGCUCUCUUACUGACUUAUGAAACGCAUACUUUUACAUUUUACAUUCACACAGCAAAAGAAACUUUUUGUAAAUUCCUUCUAUUUUAAUCAGGCUGCCUCACUAAGGAGUAGCAAGGGACACGUUUCUCUCCGCAGGAAAAAGCCCAGCAGUAACAUUCCCACUGAUUUCAAAGCCAUGUGAAUGUAGAAGCUGUGGUGCUGUUCAACAGUUGUAAAGGUUUAAUGCCAGCCCAGUCAAUGGACUUCUGCUAGCAUGAAACUGAUGUUGCACAAAGAAGAAUGAGACAAACAUGGUCGUGUGUAAAUAAUAACAGAUCUAUAGGAUGAAUACUAGAAAGAUCAAAAAUCAGACAAGGGUCCUCGACCCUACAACUGGAGCUGCAGAAUGGAAUUAUGUUUGGUCAUAGCUGCUUCAGGUGUGAGGGUCCUGCAUGAACAGAUCCUUCAUCAAUACUCACAGAGCUAAAAACCACCAUCUGACACACUAGUAUUCACAUGACUGAACGAUUAAAAGUGGAUCAGUCAGUUGGGAUAACAGAAAUAAUGAAACCGCUGCAGAACUUCUGUCCUCUGCUUUGGAAAUAAAUGUCUUGUUUUCUCCUCUGUCAGUCCCAAGAGGUGAGUGUCUUGCUUUGCUAGCACUUGUCUAUUUCCAUGCUGACUGAGUACUCGUACAAUUCCCUUAAUAACAAUCAGAGAAUUUAAGUUGCUGAUAAACAAGUUCCCUAAUGCCAUAUUUUUUUCAUAGCUUCUGAGGAAGUCCUUUAUAUGAUGGAGAUAAACAAUUAACAAUAAUUAUCUGAAAUAUCAGGAUACCUCCAUGUUUUUAGAAAGUUACACAAAUGAAUGCCUUACAUUGCUUCAGGGGGUUCUUAAUUUCUGGAGCACUGGAACAGGCUACCCAGAGAGGUUGUGGAGUCUCCUUCUCUGGAGAUAUUCAAAACCCACCUGAACGCCAUCCUGUGCAACCUGCUGUAGGUGAUCCUGCUGUAGCAGGGGAGUUGGACUAGAUGAUCUCCUGAGGUCCCUUCCAACCUCUACCAUUCUGUGAUUCUGGGAUUCUGGGAUUUCUCUUUAUAGGACGUGGAAUAGAGUUCAGCACUUUUUUGUUGGCCAUGACUGUAGCAUCUUAGCCCUUUGUAACACUUAAAAAGUAGUGUUGUUUUCAGUUUUGGUUUUGGUUUCUAUGGUUCUUCAGUUCUCUUUCUACACGUUUUUAUGGUUAUUGUGUUCUCUACACUUUACUACAGCAUUAUCUGAGUGCUUGUUCAAUGUUGAAGGUGAUCAUCACGUUAGGUAGUGAUUUGCAUUUUUAAUUAAGGAGAAAAAUGGAAGCCAACUGGGCUUUGAUAAAACAUGGCUAAUUUAAUUAGCUUAUUUUUAUCUUAUUCAUACUGUUAUAGCAAUCAUUAAUAAUAUGGAUAUUGAGAGUAAAAAAAUCUAUUUCUUUUGCUGUGAGGUCUAAGGUUAACAAUUUUACCUUUUUAGUACAUUUUCUAAUUUUUUGUGUUAAAUUGUGUACAUUUGAUAAUAACAUAAAAUGACUUGAACGAAGACUGACAUGAAAUUGAACACAGAUUGGGAAGAAGUCACGUGGGUUACUGAGUUCAGAGUACUGUCAUACAGCAGUAUGUUAAACUAGCUAGAUUUUAAUUGUGGGAUCAAGGAGCAUUUCCCACAUCCCAGGUCGAAGUCAGUUGUCAGUCAGGGCAAGACUUUGGGAAUUCACCUUUCUUCCUACUCUCGACAAUGUAUUGGUCUCUAGGGAGAAACUUGGACAUGCAUUGUCUCUACUCCAGAUCAUGGGAGGUCCAGAACACUGGACUUCUUAUGGAAAAACACAUGCCCUGCAAUUUAGACUUGAACAAUGUGUCUACCACAAGUUACAAUGCAUCUGCAAGCCUUAUAACUAAAAGCCUACACUGGAAUUCAUUAAGAAAAGGCAAGGACUGCUAAUUAUUUAUAUUGUGAUUUGAAAAUAAAAUCAGUAAGUGACAUAUGAAAUUUUUUUGCUUUACAGGUUGGUCUGCAUAGGGAAGAGUGAAG